CCUCUGACAGCAACAGUCUGUGCCGCGCCAGGGAACCGGCUGGACCGCACUCUGGCUGCCUCGCUCGCCCCGGCACCUUCUACAUGUGCGCUGCCUUCCGCUCGCGACCCCUCGGACUGCUCUCUUUCGGGGCUGCUGCUGCCUUUCUGAGGCCUUUCUGCGAGAGUCGGUCGGAGAUUUGCCUUUCACUCUACUCCCCCCCUUUUCUCUGGCGGAGUUAAGUUUAUAAUAACCCCCUUUUUGGUGUGUUUCCCCCCCCCCCACCUCCCCUCGUUUCGUUUCGAGUUGUUUGCCUUUCAUGUAUUGUUUUGCUUUUUUUAACGGCUGUGCGAAAAUUCCGGGAAGAUCGUUGGUGAAAAUCCGAAGUCUUCUAGACUUUUUACUCGACUGAUUAAAAAGAUUUCAAGAGUUACCACCACAAGAGCCGACUACAUGCUGAGCAAUCACUGAAAUCACUUGUCGCAGAAGACGUGAACAACUCUCUGCGGAAGAACACAGACGACGUGUUCCAUUAUGACGUCAUCCUGUGGGUUACGCCCCUUGUCUCUCCUGGCGAUACUAUUGGUCGCAGAUUUCACCAACUCCGCACCUACAAAUGGACACUUAAAGCCUGGUGCUCACGGCCGCUCACCCUCUCGACCGAGUUGGCACUUGCUGCUGGCACUCUGGCGACCCAAGGGAGAAGUGACGGCCGGGGACACGCAUCCCACCGGCGAGGUCCUGCUCACGCCCACUCAACCUCUGCCGGCAAAGGAGGCGCAGCCUACGCGAACAGCUCCUCCCGCCAGAGGAGUCCUGCCGACGAGAGUGGUUCUUCCCGCCAGAGAUGUGAUUCGGGAGAGAAUAGUCCUUCCGACUCGCGAGGACCUGCCCGAUGAGAGGGUUCUGCCGGUGAUGGAGCCUUUGCUCCCCCGGGGCGUUGCACCUGCCGGGACAGGGUUUUCCAGCGAGGGCAGUGAACCCCCGACAGAGCUACACCUUGCGAGUACAUCCUACGCACAUACACCCGAGCCCCCGCCGCACCCAGAGUCAUUCCCGCAUUUCGAAACUGAAGCCCUUCCUUCUCAUCCCGUGAGCGAGGCGGCGGGAAUCCCCGAGCACUUCCCGGGCCAAGAUAAACAAGAGGAGGACUUUCCUAUUGCUUCCCCUGUCACGGAGCGUGCGGAAACCGUGACCACCACCACCAGGAAAUUGUAUCUCCCGUUCACAGUCAGAACGUCUGUCCGAGAGGAACACGGGGACGGCCUCAUGGAAAACUUCGGCUCAUCCAGAGGAGACUUGACCAGUAACGUUGUUGUAUCAACAACAAUAUCGAACCACCAGUCCGUUCCUAUCACGCUACAGAGUUCCUCGAGAACAGUCGUGAGAACAAGCCAGAACAUCCCCAGCCUCACCACCGCGUACACGACGGCGACGUCCCCGUUGACCAUGCACACCACGACGACGGAUCAGGUGAUCACCAUGGGAAGCCCCGUGUAUAUGCACGGAACGCCUGGUAUCGAAGCCUCCCUCGGGACUCCGGUGUCGGUCUCGCCGACGAGAACCAGGAAAACCAAUAUGCUGAACCACAGGGCAGGGCUGCUUCCUGCCGGCCACCCUACGUCGCAGGGAGUAGAUGGGUCACGGGGCGAGGAAGCGAAGGGCCGUCAUGGCAACAAAGGAAGCAAAGUCUUGGAACUUGAGGGUCCAGUUGUCAUGGAAACCCUCGAUGGGUCUUCUCUUGUCCCGCUUGUCGGAAGAUCAAAAGAAGUUCUGACUCUGAAGGGAGAUGGAAAAGCCAUUUUGGCGAUAUUACAGGUCGCUCAGGGAUCCAACACGCUUGAGGAUCCCUUCCAUGUCACGUCAGUUAUUAGAAAACACGACCAACCUCUCCCGACGGACGGCAACACCAGUGAAACUUCACCUUCAGGUCUUCUGGAUCAGCAAACAACACAUCAAGAUCCUUUAAGAAACAAGAAUCUCGAAACCGAUUAUUUAGAUCAUCCCAAGCCGCUUAUCAUUCCAGACAGUCCUCAGAUUAGCGGCUUAUCGAACUUACUCGACAAAGAGUCUAAAUCAGACGACAGUCAAAAGUCCUUAAAUGCGUUAGAUGUUCACGAGAAAGCUCACCUGCUCCUCACCGUCCCGAAGAAGGCGGCCCCCUCUCCCGCAGCGCUUUCGACCACUGCCAAGCCCAUUUACGAGGAGAUCUCAGACACGCUUCAAGUAGACAGUAGCAUUGACGAUGUCGAAGACUUUGACAUUCUCACUAAACAUACAGAAAACACCGACGAAUUCUUAUCCCAGACGAACCAGUCCCACACGAAUCUAAUCGACGCAGAACUCCACAAUGGUCACGAGAUUCCUGCUUCGACAGACCCAACAGCGGCGACCUCACUCUCCACCGGCGAGGCCUCCUCCACUCCGCCCGCGCCCGAGCACCCGGCGAUGACAGCCACCGCUCAGCCGCUGACGCUUGAUGACCCUGAGACGACCACCAGCCGCCUCCUCACGACGUCUCCUCCUGAGGAAGAUGAGGAGGAGGAGCUCGAGAGAGAGAGCCACACCGAAGACUGGUCUGUCUUUGUAGCCAACGUGUCCGCACUCAGCAACAAGAGUCUGGCUCUAAAUGAGUCCGUGUUCCAGCCCCGCUCCGAGAUGAGCAUUGAAGAUCACCACAAGAUUGUUCUGAAGGAAAGAGGUAGUCUGAUGCUGCAGUUGAUGGAUCCCUCAGCCGACCCCUGCAGCGACUUCUACCAGUUCGCCUGCGGGAAGUGGAAUGGGAAGUUUCCUAUUAGGCAGGAUAAGGCGGUCGACAACACCUUCGAGCGCCUGAAGGAGGACCUGGAUGACGUGCUGAGGUCCCUGCUGGAGGAACCGCCUUCAGAGAACGACAACAACAUCACGAAGGCUGUCAAGACGCUGUACUCUGGCUGCAUGAACAUCGAGAGGAUCGAGACCCUUGGAGCCACGCCGCUGCUGGAACUCCUGGACGAGCUGGGCGGGUGGCCCGUGCUGCUGGGCGACGCCUGGAACGGGACCGACUACGACUGGGUGAGGCAGAUGGCUCAGCUGAGGAAUUACAAUAACGACAUCCUGAUUUCGGAAUGGGUCGCCGCUGACAUCACUAACUCUUCGAACCACAUCAUUCAGCUGGACCAGCCCAUGCUAGGCCUCCCGGGCAGAGAAUACUUCAUCAACCCCGGCGACUUCCAGUACCGCGAAGCCUACCUCAACCUCAUGCUCAGCGUCACCGAGAUCCUGGGAGCCUCCGUCGACGUCGCCCUCAGGGACAUGACGGAGGUCCUGCACUUCGAGAAGCAGCUGUCGAGGAUUCUCACGGCGGCGGAGGAGCGAAGGAACAUGUCGGCCAUCCACCGCAAAAUGACGCUGGAGGAACUCAGUAACGAAGUCCCGGGGAUCAGCUGGCAGGACUACAUCGACGCCAUCGGCUGGAGCAACAACCACACGGAGGAAAUCGUGGUGUUCGGCCUCGACUACUUCAAGAAACUCGUCCCGCUCCUCAAUGAUACCGACAGCAGAACGAUCAGCAACUACCUCCUGUGGCGCUUCGUGAAGAACCGGAUCAGCAACCUCGGAGACAAAUUCACGCGGGUCAAGCAAGACUACAUCAAGGUUCUCUUCGGCCGGAAAUCCCAGCCUGAGAGGUGGCGUUCGUGCGUGGAGUAUGUCACAGGCAACCUCGGCUACGUGGUCGGCGCCAUGUUUGUCCGCCGGUAUUUUCCUGAAGCUAGUAAGCAUGACACGGAUGAGAUGAUUUCCCUCAUCCGAUUCUCCUUCAAAAUGGCGGUAAAGGAAGCCUUGUGGAUGGAUCCGGACACGCGCAGUGUUGCCAUGGAAAAAGUGGACACGAUCGUCAAGAACGUCGGCUACCCUGAGUACCUCAUGAACGAUACUUACAUGGAUCAAGUUUAUUCUGAGCUGAGCUUUAGUCCUGAUGAACACUUCAAGAACGUCCUGAAGAUGUUGCAGUUCCAUGCUCGCACCAACCACAACCUCCUCGCUGCCCCCGUCAACCGGACAGCUUGGGUGACGACGCCGGCUGUGGUGAACGCCUAUUACAGCCGUUCCAAGAACAUGAUCGUGUUCCCCGCGGGCAUCCUGCAGCCGCCCUUCUACCAUCCUGCCUUCCCCAAGUCCCUUAACUACGGUGGCAUCGGCGUUGUCAUCGGCCACGAGAUCACGCACGGCUUCGACGAUCGCGGCCGACAGUUCGACAAGGACGGGAACCUAAACCAGUGGUGGAAGCCCGAAGACGUGUCCAAGUUCUACCAGAGGGCUUCGUGUAUGUUGGACCAAUAUGGUGAGUACAAAGUGGACGAAGUUGGCCUCAACAUCAACCCUGUCAACACCCUGGGCGAAAACAUUGCAGACAACGCCGGGAUCAGAUGCUUACCAGGCCUACAAGAAGUGGGCCGAGAAGAACGAGGAGCAGGUGACGGUGCCCUACGUCAACCUCACGCACGACCAGCUCUUCUUCCUCAACUUCGGCCAGAUUUGGUGCGAGAAUAACAGGCCCGAGGCGAUGCUCACGAAGAUCCGGAGCGGCCAGCAUUCGCCCAACAAGUACAGAGUGAUAGGAACACUUUCCAACUCGGAGGACUUCAGCAGAGCCUACAACUGCCCCGUUGGGUCCCGGAUGAACCCCGAGAGGAAGUGCAAAGUGUGGUGAGCUUGAAGCGCCAUGACGAAAAUAAAACUAGAGAGGAGAAAGAAUAUAUAUAUAUAUAUACUACCAGACUACUUUGCAACGAAAGAGUGCAAGCGAUUUGAGCGGCAGAGCAGAGAUUCUUUAGCACUGCAUUGCUUGACUGUGGUCGGCAGAGCAGUGAGGGACGUGCCGUUGGUAAGGAGAUGGGAAGAGGCCUCUCAUUGCUACACUUCAAGGACUGAAUGCCCAGGAUGCGUUUGUAUACAGACGUUAUACCGACACCCAUGAUACAAGACGCAAAUAUACGUAUUCAUACAACCCAUAGACACAGAGACACAUAAACACAUACAGAAACAGACACGAAUAUACCGCAUAUGGGAAAAUAAAAGUUUGAUAGAUUGAUAAGAAAGGCAAGCGAAUUGAGAGGAAUAGAAGAGAAGGAAUAGAUGAAGAAAAAGUAGUAAUUAAGGAGGCAAUGUCACCCUCACGUGGCCAGGGUGAGCGAUAAUGGCUGCAAAGUGCAUUUAUUUAUCUUUCUAUUUUUUAUAAUCUGUUGGUCAAAACCAACUUUCUUUUCUUGUAAUUUAGAUAAAAUACAAAUGCUCUUUUCAUAUAAUCGAUUUGAAUAGAAAUAUAUCACAUAGAGUUAAUAUAUAAAUCUGUUGUUGUCUGUAUGUUUGUUCACUCUGUGAGAUCAAUUUUACCCUUUAUAGUAAAUUAAAAUGUUGAUAUUUCUAAAAAAAAAA
rnacentral:misc_RNA from 1 species